CGUGAUUUGUUAUUCUCUUGAUUUACCUUGUGUAAAAUCCUCAAAUUUGUCCAAAUCUGUUUUGGAGAAUAAGGUAACGAAAUUUUCCAAAUUUGUUUUUAAUUUAUAUUCGUGCCUUAAACAGUUUAUGUGGUUGUACAUGAAGUUUGAGUUCCAUUUGACAAAGGUUAACUCAACAACGGAGAUUCGACUACACUAUGCCCCCG
rnacentral:lncRNA from 1 species